UCAAAACAAAAUCUUAUGCUAGGAUUCAGAUUAGGAUUGCAAGAAAGUUCAGUUAAUAUCGAUUCAAAGAAAAAAAACGAAAUCUAAUUCAGUGUAAACAAAAUCAAUUCAAAUCGAACAAUUAAACAUGUACACGUAUAAUAGAAUAUAAUAAAAUCAACAAUAGAAACUUAUAAUAGACAUUUUAAACCAAAAUUUUGUUUUUAAGAGAAAAAUUAACACAAGAUAAAGUUGUAAAUAAUAUAAUAAGGUGUUCUUUGACAUGCCGAUUUAACUGAAUUCAAGUCGACCAUUUUUUUAACUCUUAUCAAAGAAAAUUAAUUUGAGAGCAUUGAUAGAGCGAUUCCCAUCAAUUCAGACGGAUUUAAAUUCAAUAUAAUAAUUUUCAAUUAGUCGCUCUCAAUCGAUAUUCUUAGCGAAUGAAAAUAAUCGAUUCACGAAUGGGCGAUUCGAACACCACUAGUUGAGAUCACAAAUUAAUUCAGAUUCAUUUAUUCGUGUUUUCGCCGCAAGUCUUUUCGUUUAAAGGGUUAGAUGUAUUCAAGGUCAUUGAAAUAUUUUUCUAAAUAUCGAAGCUUCCGAUUGAAAUGAUCGCACUUUACAUAUAUACUCUUUGCCCCGUGUGUUCGUCUCCUUGUCUACGUCUGUAUGGCUCGGUUUUACCAAAAUAGUGUUAAACCUAAGAUACGGUUGAUUAGGAUGAACUGAAAUUAUUUCAGUAGUAUUAUGGCAAAACAUGUUAUCUGCUAUUUGUGUUACGUAUAUAUACACAUAACUUACUUUGCCAUAUUAAUUUCAACAGUCAUUUUGUCAGUAGUGCAUAGUGAUUGUCAACUUAAAGUAUACGUUAUUUGCGGGCAUUUGAUGUCAAAAAUGCAUUGUGACGAAAAAAAGGCAGAUAACAUAUUUUACUAUAUACUACUGAUUUAUAAAAGUCAUUUUCCAAACCAUGUUAUCUCUAACUCCAAGCUAAAGUGCAUGUUAUUUUAACUUAAGUACAUGUGUCCGUCAGUUUGCGUGUCUCUUGUCAAAAAGGCGGAUGCAAUCAAAACCGAAUGGAUGGCAAGUUCACAAAUCGAAGACCGAAAAGGGCUUAUUUUAAGUCGGUUUUUUUCAACUAUAGAAAGUAAACAGAACCUACUAAUAACCGAUUUAGACGAAAUAAGAACCGAUGUAGACAAAAUAAGAACCGAUGUCGACAAAAUAAGAACCGAUGUAAACGAACUAUCAACCGAUGUAAAGCAGUUACCACAGACCAUCCGUUUGGUAGUGCGGGAGGAAAUACAAAACGCAAUUCACAACGAAACACCAAAACAGCUAAAGAAUCUUUUAAAACUGGGGUUUGAUAAUUUGUAAAAUUUGUAAAAUAUAAUUCAAUUAUUAUUAUGUAAUGUAAUGUA